GACGAACGCUGGCGGCGUGCUUAACACAUGCAAGUCGAACGGAAAGGCCCUGCUUUUGUGGGGUGCUCGAGUGGCGAACGGGUGAGUAACACGUGAGUAACCUGCCCUUGACUUUGGGAUAACUUCAGGAAACUGGGGCUCAUACCGGAUAGGAGCUCCUGCUGCAUGGUGGGGGUUGGAAAGUUUCGGCGGUUGGGGAUGGACUCGCGGCUUAUCCGCUUGUUGGUGGGGUAGUGGCUUACCAAGGCUUUGACGGGUAGCCGGCCUGAGAGGGUGACCGGCCACAUUGGGACUGAGAUACGGCCCAGACUCCUACGGGAGGCAGCAGUGGGGAAUAUUGCACAAUGGGCGGAAGCCUGAUGCAGCAACGCCGCGUGCGGGAUGACGGCCUUCGGGUUGUAAACCGCUUUCGCCUGUGACGAAGCGUGAGUGACGGUAAUGGGUAAAGAAGCACCGGCUAACUACGUG
rnacentral:rRNA from 1 species